GGAAAAAUACUCUGAAAAGACCCAAAAGGUUGAUGUCUUGCCCUUGAAGAAAGAGGCCACCAGGAAUGACAAUGCCUGUCUUGUGUGGCCGUCGGGACACCAAGGAGCUCGGUAACAAGCACGUGGCUCCCCCUUGGCCAUUGCCACAAGCCAAACUUUGCAUCUAGAGGGAAAUACCCACAAUUAUCUUAUUGUCCCCCUUCAUCUGCAAUUUCAACCUUAGGAGACCAUCCUCCGCACCAGGUGAGGGGGGAAAGGUCUCCAAUGAGCAAAGUGGCUUCAUUAUGCUGCAGCUGAGUUGUUGAUGCUGAUUAAUAACAUCUGCUUGGUGGCUACAACUUCCUCAGGCCUGGGAGAAGGUUGUGGGUAUUGGUUGAGUAGGUGGUUGUGGACAAGCUGAAUAAACCUUCCUGAGAUGCCUCCUGACCAGAGAUAAUAACCCCACUUGGUGAAACCAGUGCGGACGAGCCGCUGUGCCUCGCGCGUUGAUUCGCCAGCUCCAGAUCUGCUCUGCGAUAGCAGGCGGGACUCAGAGCUCGUGGAAAAGGCCAGAUCCUCCUCUCCCACGUGUACCGGGGCAGCUCCAAGCUUUGCCGGGGAGGAAUUUGGGGACCCUGCUUGUCUGUGGGAUUUCUCCCUGGGGUGCCAGACUCGCUGUACAACCACAUUGGGACUCACCUCCACGGACCAUCUGCUCGCCAGUCUGGAUGUGCUGCCUUUGGUGCUACACGCUUCCCCGACGGGAAAGUCUCGGCCAGAAAUAGAACAGCCUUUCCUGAGGCUCUCCGCUCACAGGGCCAGCUCAUUGAUACAGACAGCAUCAGCCCCUGUGUGCUGGGAGGAUCCCUGUGGAAAUUCAGGCCUUUUUUCCUGUCGUUUCAUUCAUUUUUGUUAAGCCAUCAGUGCUGGGUUCGUGGGAUACCCGCAAAGCUGGGACCUGCCAAACUCACUGCACGUGUGAGCAGCCCAGCUCUGAUCUCAGUGGGACCGGGGCAGCCCCUGCCCACACACCCACCCUGGCCCUGCCGGCAGUGAAUUCACCCCUGGGGACCCAUGUGUCAAGCAGAGCAAUUAAAAGCCCAAUCAGCAUCAUUUCAUCUACUCCUCGAUAACUGCUGUGAUGCCGUGACCCAUGGCUCGGGACCGCGUCCUCUCCCAGCCCUCUCCCCUCCACCUCUUCCCAGUGCCCCACAUGGGCUCUUGAUAUAUUUUUAUUGAUCUCUUUUAUGUAAAGCUCAUCCCUGCCAUUCACUCCUGAGUUAUAACAGGGCUCUUUGUUCCCCUGCACAAUGGAGUGUCCCUCGGCAGCCCCAGGGAGACUGGGCAAUGCUUUAAAAGGUUAAUGUCUCUGUUAGAUUACAAAUCGCUCUGAAGCCGUCUGCUGUCACUCUCAGGAGGUCGGAAAUAAUCACCUGGAUCUUUUAACUAUUAACCGAGCCUGAAUGAGACAGGGAGAUGCUGUGUCGGUGCUGCUACCUCUGGUUAUUGAGGGAAUGAUUGUCUGACUCAAACGAGCAUCUGAGCAAAGCGGGUUUUGCUGUGCUAAACUUUCCCAUCAUUGCAGACAGGGCAUCAAGGCUGAGGGUCUUGCAGGGAAUGCACCAAGAUUUGCAAAGGGAUUUAAGGGCUCUUUAGGUGCUGAAAUGUUGCUGUGUGACCCUGAAGGCUCUGCCCGUGUGCUCCAGCAUCCCAUCAUCAUGAGGUGCAGGCUACAUGUUGGACACACGGUGUGUGUGAUGUGCUGCACGUCUGGGCACAACCACACGUUGUGGCCAUGGGUGCUUUGUCCGGUUGUGCACCCUGCGUGUGGUGAAGGGUCCUCCCUCCUCUCUGAUCCCAGUCGGGGAGGGAAUUGCAGAUCAGGGAAUGAAUUCUCAGGGCCAGGAGGAGAGGACACGUGGCUCUUGACAUUGCCACUUUGGUGACUGUGAUCCCAGCUGCGAAUCUGAAAAAUCAUUGUUGCAAGAAUUAAAAAAAAGAAAAAAAAUCAAACUAGACACGGCUCAUGACUUUGGCUUGUUUGGGGAAACAGCUGAACUGUGCUCUAACUUGACAAUGAGAAACAAAUCUGCUGCUUUGCCUCCUUUCGCCUCUUUCCCCGAGCCCCCGAUCCGACAGCUCCCAGGCCCGCCGUGGUGGGAAAAGCCUUGUUAGCAUUUCAUGCGGUCGCAUAUUUUUCGUGUGUGUGUUGUGCUCUUGGUUGAGUUGAAUCCUAAUCUGUCUGUCUUCGGGGGAUGGCAGACAGCUGCUUUAAUGAGUUAACAGUAGGGUUUAAAAUAACCAGCAUCUGUUCUUUGUGCGAGCAGGGGCUCUCCUACCACAGCCCUGCCUUCCAAAAACAACCUUGCAGGGGCGGGGUGCGCUCGGGCCCACUCCCUGCGGAUGCUCCAUCCCUCGUGGCUUUGCUGCCGGGAUGGGAUGAGUUUCCCUCGGCAGCUCCUCCUGCAAGCACUGCUCGGAUAAGUCAUCAGCUGGGGGGAACGCAUCUCUGCAGUGAAGGGUUUUGCAGAGGGUGGGGAUUAUCUCAGACUUUCCUGGUGCGGCUCUGAUCACCUUGAGAGCCUUAUGCUAGAAACACACACCUGCGGCUUGUUUUCCACCUGUGGCUUGUUUUCUUCCUGCAGUUUUGACCCCUCUGCCCGUGAGUCCCCAGAGACCCACCUUUCUCUCACCUCCCCAGCCCUGAUGGGCACAUAGUUUGAUUUGGGGACACGAGAUGGAGUGUAGCGAUGCCCACCUCCCCACCCAGCCGCUGCACCAGGCGAGAGGGAGGAUGUCACGCAGCACAACCACUCUUGGUGCUCAUGAAGCCCAAGGCACCCCCAGACCUGUACAAGUCCUGCAGCCACACUGAUCCCACGGACCUUCUUGGGUGUUUGGAUAAAAAUUCUUCAUGGAAAGGGUUGUAAAGCACUGGAACAGGCUGCUUGGGAAAGUGGUGGAGUCACUGUCCCUGGAGGGGUUUAAAAGACGUAUAGAUGAGGCUCUCAGGGACAUGGGUUAGUGCUAAAGUUCGGUUAUGGUUGGACUCGAUCUUAAGGGUCUCUUCCAAACAAAAUGAUUCUUGCAAGCCCAGGCUGCACAGCCACAAUGGCCAGUGGGUAUUGACCCUCUCUGUCCAUCAGUUGCUCUUUGAAGCCCUUUUCCUGGGCGUCCUCCACGCUGGGAACGGAUGCAGGGAGCACGCUGGAGGUGACCUCUGUGUGGGACUUGGAUCCAUUCCCUCGGAGGUGAAAGCAAAUUAGUGUCAGAGCUAACGAAGCCAGGUCCAGCGUUGGAAGGAGAUGGCUGAGUCCCGACAAGACGCUUCCCGCUGGGAGGGGGACCCCGUGUCCGGGCUGCUGAGCCUCGGAGCCAACUGCCAGCCCACUCCCUCCCCUUCUCUUAUUUAUUGGGUGUGGGAGGUGGUGGAGUUUUUUCUCUUUCCCGGAUGCACCCAGCGCAGCGGUCUCUGCACGACACCAAAUUAAUUAAUGUUGGGCAGGCGGAAUGCAAUUAACUACCCUGGAGCCUGGCCAAGGCAGGGGCAGCAUUCCUUGCUCCUGCGAGCAACAACUCCAGAGCUUCGCUGGGCAGGACCUCGCUUGGCUGCACAGCUCAAGGGCAGGAGGCUUCGACAGGGGCACGUCCUUCUGGAAAUGCCUCCUCCAGGCCCUUUUGCUGCCCUGCACCUGCACUUGGAUGCCAUUCCAUGCGCGAUCCCAUCGCUGCUUGUUCCCUCGUUCCAGCCCCGGGAGGUGGCAGGAGGAGGGAGGCAGCAUCUGCAGGAGCUUGCAGCACAGUUGGCAAAAUCCUGGGCAGAAGUAAUCAAGCGAGAGGCCGUGGGAGCGUUUCAAGGACCAACUGGCUGGAUUUUAUUUAUUGCUGCCACUCACUGAGAAAAUGGACUCGGGAGGAGAUUCCUGGGCCGCGGGUGCUGCGCAGGACCGGCAGCUUCUGUUAAAUAGAGCAUCGCCUGACAGAGCUGUGAUUUAGCUGUGGCUAUUUAAAGGGGUUUACAGGCAGCCAACGCGGAGCAUCUGCAGGCAAAAUGGGCAGCUUUGGCAGUUCGGCUUCUUUGAAAGUCAACUAAAUUAAAAAAAAAAAAAAAGACAAUUAAAAAGAAAAAGCUUGUGCAGAAAUAGCGAUUGAGGAGGUGGCUGCAGAAGGCAACUGGUGGGUUUGGGGGUCCAGCUGAACCCCAGUCCUGAGCUUCAUGUAACCCACGCAGAAACAUGUCCCCUGCCCUGCAUUGCCAGCCUGGCUGUGUGCUGGGGCACGUUAUGCAUCACCUCCUCUUCCUUUAGCCUUUCUGUUUUUCCUGCUGUCCAUCUACACCUCUGGACGUGUGUAACAGCUCUGCAGUUCAGUUACCUGAACCCUUCUUGUUCCAUGCGGGAGGAAGGUUAAAGCCCAGAUGGCUUUGAAUAAUAAACAAGGCUAUAAAUCCACAUGGUAUAUACAAACUCAUAAAGCAGUGCUUGGCAGGACAUGUCACCAACAUGCCAUUAACAGGGCUACCCUCCCCUUCCACAGCACCCCGCCAGCCAAGUGGGGUUUGGGGGUGAGCACCAGAGAUGGAUAGUGUUGGAUCUUAAUUCCCAGCCUGUAUAAGCACCCUGUUCCUCCCAAGAAGGAAAACCAAGAUGCCCAGUUACCUCUGCUCAGCUCCAUCCCUGGGCCAGGUCUUCCAUCAGCCCAGGGUCCCCGUUGGGUGAUCCAAACCCCUGAGCUCUACCAGGUCUGUGGCACCCGGCUUCAUCAGGAUGUCGGCAUUUCACGGGCUGCUGGGUCCCCAGGAGCAGCCCUGUACUUCUCACAUUAUCUUCCUCCUCCAAAGGGCAAUUUAGAAGUGUAAGGAUCAAGAUUAAAAUGUCACACAUUCUUCUUUGUUACACCCAUUAAAUGCUUUAUUCUGCCGAGGCCAACCCAUCUCUUGUCUCAGGCUUCAAUUGCGAACUCCUCUAUGUCCAACCUCAGUGCAAUGGGUCGUGUUCUCCCAGACUUCUAUAAAACAAUUCCAGAUACCAGAAAUGUCGGAUCUGCAUCCGUUUCAGCCGAGGCUGAGCUGCCCUGCAGCAAGAGGUGCCUCGGCCAACCUGGUUUUACACCCAUGGCUGGGUGUUCUCUGUCUGCAGAAAGCUGUUCUCUCUUGCAUCUUGGCCCAAACUUCGUCUUUGAGAAGCUCUAGAUAGCAAGGGCUGGAUCUGAUUUUAAAACAUCAUAUUUCUGGGAAUAUUCCCAUCAUCGCAUAAGUUAUUGGCAAGGUAAGCUGGGCCAGGAGUCUGGUGACAAUUUAUGUGUUCAGACUCCUGUGCUAGCCGGAGUCCUCCAGACAGUCACAGCGAACUCACAGGGAGCUUUUUUCUUAAAAUCCCUGUGAUUUUAGACAUUAAAAAGAGCGGGUAUAUUGUGGGGUCAGCUUUGCCCUGAGGAAGACAGACGUGGAGCCCCAGUCCCAGCCAGGCUGCACUGACAGCACAGGGGGUGACGCACAGCAACGGGGAGCAGAGCUGCUGUAAAUCACAGCGUCACAUUCCAUAGGCACACAGCCAUGAGGCUGCUGGAAAUGGCCUGAGCAGCCGUGUCAGAGGCAACGAGACAUAAAUGGGUAUGUUGCUCAGCACCCCUCAAACCCAUCAGGCUCUCCUGGUGGAGCAGGGACCCCACAAAACACACAUCUGGGUCCCCCCGACCCUCAGGAGUGUGGGCACACUGCAGCUUUGCCUUGGGAAGCCUGAGCUCCUGCCUGAUGCCAGAGUCAUUUUUUAUCUCCUGUUCUCCCCCAACGUGACACAAGAUUAAUUACAGCCAUAAAAACAUUAGGAGCUUUCUAAAUAUUUUAUGUGAGUAAGCACACACAAUAUGAGGGUUUUACCUGUUACAUUUUUGUAAAGGACAUUUUGUUUAUAAUAACUGAGAAACCUGACAGGUGAUUUUAUUUUUAGUGCUCCUGUCUGCUUUGAAGGACUCCAAAUGCAGAGAGGAGACAAGAGCAAUAAAAACCAUCCUCGGAGUCCCAAGGAGGGCACAUAGAGCUAAUGAGAAGGGGGCUAAAAGGAGAUCACUAUAAAUUUCAGCCCCCAAGCUGAUCUUGAUGCUUGAUGGCUGCAAAUUUGAGCACAGAGGCAGUGGCAGGGGCUCCCCAGCACCACGUGCCGGCGGUGACAGUUUGGAUUGAGACGGUCCGUGCUGAGGAUGGGUUGUGUUCGCUCACCACUCCCAGCUAUUUUGUGAUCUGUAGAUAGCAAAAGCGACACCGUCACCGGAGGGCAGAUGUUUGAUCCCUAUUCAGCUGGUUGGAAUUCAACAGGCGCCCUGUGGGUUGGCGAUUUUUCUAUCCACCUCAGUGUCCAUCUGCGGUCGGAGACUAGAAGCAAUAAGGCACUAGUCUGGUUUUUCCUGGGGCGAGAUAGCGGCUAAAUCAUCCUCUCAAUAACGGAAAGAUUGGGGGGAAUUCUUCAUGUUUCUUCCACUGUUGCCGUCCUCGAAGUGUCCCACACUGAGCACUGGAGAGCGGGAGCAUCCCAGUUGCAGGAGGAGGUUUUGCAAAGCUGCCGUGAUGGCUUUGUGCCAGCGGCAGAUCCCAGCGAGGCACCCAGGGGAGCCCUCAAAGCUUCCUUAAACAGCCAGGGAGGCUUUGAGGAUUCGGCUUGUCGUCUUUGUGUUUGAAAGACUAGAUCUCGCUCGCCGUUAUCCGGGGAGACAAGACUUUGCAAGCAGUUCCUACAGCAGGAUCCGCUCCACCCAGGUAGGACUCGUUUUGCUGCCUGGGUUUCUGAGCCUACACCUCCCUUCUUGUUCAGGCAGAGCACACUUGGACAUGGAGCAAUUACAGCAGACAGCGCUUCUUUCCUCACCCUUCGUGACUAUCUCCAGCGAUCCCAGCAAGUCAUCCAAUUUCCUGGUGUUACUGUGGUAGUGCAAGGCAAGAAGCCAUUAGCGACUGGGUCUCGAUGUGUCUCAUUCUCGGUUUAAAUAUUGAAGAGGCUUCGGAACACCUCUUCAUCUUAGCAGUUGACCUGAAAUGGUAUCUGUUGCAUCGCACAGCUGUUAUUUUUUGGUGAGCUGUCAUGGUUUCUGAUUGCAGAGCGAGGAGAUGCGGCGCUCCAGAGCCCUGACACGCAGCGGGACUCAGAGUUUGUGCUGAAUAUUUCAUGCAGACACAUGCAGACAGAGGAACUGGUCUGUUUUCAAUUCUGAUUUUCUCUGCUUCUCGAGGUGCAUAAAUGAUGCAUAUUGUUUAAGCUUCCCGGUUUUGGAGGAGGGAAGAGUGACAAAUGCCUUUGCUGUCAGUUGCCCGAGUUUUGGGUGAAACAGGCCUCGUGUCUUUGGUUGUCUGUACGGUAUUAUAAGGAAAGAAUUGUGCUGGUGGCUGAGCCCUGGGCAGCCCGCCGGCAUCCCCCACGGCAGCCGGGGGCACGGGGACCAGGGUGGCCAGCACAGAGCCAGGACUCAGCCCCUGUUCAGCAGGAUCUAAUACCGGUAAUCUCCAGUUAAUGAGGUGCUGUUUCAGGCUUUCCAAGGCUUUAGCAGGUCAAAACAAAUGCAUUUCACACCGGUUAAUCUUUGCCGAGUGACUCCAAGUGGAACACCAGCCUAUGCUUGCAGGGAAGGUCCGUGGAGCCCCUAUUGCCCAAAACCUUGAGCUGCUGCGAGGAGCCUCUCCAACCUCUCACAGCAUCCCAAUACGAUUCCCCAAAGCAUCGUGCUCUCCCACCUGUAGUUCUCCACCUCUUUUUUCCUACAUUUUUUAGCACUUCUCUUGGGCAGAAGCCUCCACAUUCAACCAUCUCUUGCUGUUGCAUCCAUCCUGCCCACAGAGUCCAUCCGGCUGCGGUUUCACAGAAUCACACAGAAUCCCAGGAUGUCAGGGGUUGAAGGGCCCUGGAAAGCUCAUGCAGUGCAAUCCCCCCAUGGAGCAGGAACACCCAGAUGAGGUUACACAGGAAGGUGUCCAGGCGGGUUGGAAUGUCUGCACAGAAGGAGACUCCACAACCCCCUGGGCAGCCUGGGCCAGGCUCUGCCACCCUCACCCCAAACAAGUUUCUUCUCAAAUUUAAGUGGAACCUCCUGUGUUCCAGUUUGCACCCAUUGCCCCUUGUCCUGUCACUGGUUGUCACCAGAAGAGCCUGGCUCCAUCCUCCUGACACUCCCCCUUUCCAUAUUGAUCCCCAGGAAUGAGUCCCCCCUCAGUCUCCUCUUGUCCAGCUCCAGAGCCCCAGCUCCCUCAGCCUUUCCUCACACGGGAGAUGCUCCACUCCCUCCAGCAUCUUGGUGGCUGCGCUGGACUCUCUCCAGCAGUUCCCUGUCCUGCUGGAACUGAGGGGCCACAGCUGGACACAACAUUCCAGGUGUGGUCUCCCCAGGGCAGAGCAGAGGGGCAGGAGAACCUCUCUGACCUACUGACCACCCCCUUCUAACCCACCCCAGGUACCAUUGGCUUCCUGGCCACAAGGGCCAGUGCUGGCUCAUGGUCACCCUGCUGUCCCCAGGACCCCCAGGUCCCUUUCCCCUACACUGCUCUUUAAUAGGUUUGGAGAACUCUGGGCAGAAUCAAUCACUGACCAUGGGUCGGGAAGUGCUGCACCAAAGCAGCAGCCUGCCGUGGGUUUUCUCCCGCCUCCCCAUGAGAUAUGUUGUCUAUGGAUCCUUAGAGAAGUUUCAUUUUAAUGAAAACCCUUUGUGGCUCUUUCAGCAGCUGGAAAAGAGUGAUUAGAGGAACUCCUGGUGUCAUUUUCUUUGCCCAGGCUCUGCUUUUCUCCUUAACAACUUUCCUGUGAUUGACGGUACAAAGGAAGCUGCCACAAAAUGAGACAGAAAUCGGUGGUCGAUUAGAGCUUUUCUUUAAAGGUCAACCAAAAAUUAUAACGCAAACCCCAGAGUUAUAUUAUAGAAGGCAAAAUCUGCUACAUGGGCUGCAGAGCUGUGAGGGACGGCUCUAGAAAUUCUGAGUUAAUUACUAAGAAAAUUCUUGGUAUUGAUUACUAAGAAUUAAUUAUUAUUCUUUGCCAAUCAGUAGGAAAUUCUUAGUUAAUUACCGCAAAGGCAGAGAUCACAGAAGAUGCUACAGAGACCAACAUCUCUCACCGCAGCACCUGUGAGGCUGUUCCACUUUGGACCAACGGCUUCUCGGUGUCUUUUAGCAGAUCAAUUUUUGCUUUAAAUGAUCGUGCAAGUUAAUAAAAAACCCCCUGUUGGAGUAAAAAUGAAACAUCCCAGCCAAGAUUCUCUAAAUUGUUUUGAGGGCCUUGACCUUUUUUCCUUUGUUCUCCCAAUGUCAGGUUUGAAAAGCUUUGUAAUAUUUGACAUUUGGGGCAGGAGAGGGGGAUAAAAAAAUACCCUAAUUUGUACCUGGAUUUUCUCUUCAGCAAUGAAGCAGUAAAAUGUACAUUUAGGCAUUGGACAGGCUCUGCAGUUCAGCCUCACCUCCUUUUUCCUUAGGCCAUAUCUACCCCUACGCUCACCAUAAAUAAUCUUCACACUUCCUGGGGCCUUUAAUACUAAUUAAGCCUUAAACUAGGCAGAAACGAGGUAAGGGAGACUUAUAUCACAGAUUCCUCACUCAGCAUUGCGAGUACUUUGCUUUCUGUCUUCAACGCACUUUCAAGAGAAGGUUUUGCAGCGUUUUCUAAGGACUAGAUUUGUUUAAUGACGCCCGAAUUCGGCGUCGCUCAUCCCUGUAGCCUGUGUAAUCCAUAACUGCUGCUUUGGGGGAGCUUGAUUGCUGUUCGCCAGUCGAAUGGGGUUUUUCCUGUUUGUUUUGGGGUUCUCAUUGAGUCCUUGAGGAGGGUUGGAGGGCAAAAGCUUGUGGGUUAAAGUGCUCAAAUGGCUCCGGUGACAUGAUCGGGUGGGAUGGGCAGAACGGUCUGAGAAGGGGAAAUGUGCCCGUGGCAGCGUCAACGCACGUGCAGGGACCAGGGCUGGAAAAUGACAUUUCCAGCAUCUAAUUCUUCACCUCAAAACCACCCUCCAUAGCUGAUGGGUGCAAACGCCUUGAAUGAGAGAAUUUGUAUGUGUGCGAACGGGGGGAAGGACCCUGAAAACUUUCUCCUUGCUUUCUCGCUCUUUUCAAUACCUCCAAUGCUAAAGCAUUAAAGCUUAAUCCUCUACACUAACUCUCUACAGCCACGUCUCCCAGUAAUCCCAGUACCUGUUUGCUCCGAGUUACAGGUCUGGAGGGACAGGCUGAGCCUUCAGGUCACAGCAGGUCCAUGAAACAGGUGCCGCCGUUCCCCAAACGAUGCACGGGUCGCAUCGGUGGGCAGGGAAACAGCAUUUAAACUGACCUGAGAUGUAUUUUUUCCGGUGAGUUGGAGGAAAACAAAACGGUUUGUCCACCAUCUGUGGGAAAAGCAUUUCCAUCGGCUUUUAGAGCCGCUUGGACGUAAUUAGUUUCUAGACGAAACUUUUCAUGUCCUCGCGUUGGAAUUGUUUGGGUUUGGAAACGCUGUGAAAGGAUUUUGAUGCGUGAAAGGAACUUUGUUAAAUAUUAACCUUCUUUUUUAAGCAAAUUUGAUGCUGGUUCGCAAAGCUGGGAUGUGCGUUUUCUGGUCAAUGAGAUUCAGAAAGAAUGGUCUGGUUAGAGGAUAAACAACAUGUAACGGAGGUGAAGAGGAGAAGGGAAAAGAACCGGCUGGUUUCAUCUAAAACCCUGGGCAAUCGAUGCGAAGUCUCCAUGGGCUCAAGGCUGUGGCCCAGCGAGAUGGAGGAGGUGGAUCAAUCGCGGGCAAGAGGAGGCAGAACAAACGUCACAAAUCCAAUAUAUUUUUUCAAAGAACAACGCGGAGUUAAAAGCUUUGGCUUGACGGGUUGGGCAUUACAUAUCAAAGCUUUUGUCAGCACUGGGAAGUGUUUCACCUCAAGUCAAUGCUCUUUGGCAAAAAUAAGAAUGGGAAAAAGUAUUUUAAGGAAUCUGCAUGUUUUUUUCUCUGUGCGCGAAGGGAAAAACACCUUGGCGAAGAGAUUUCUUCAAUCAAAAAGCCAUGGAGUGUUUUGCCUGUUCCCAGAGAGACCGCGGAGAGAAGAGCCCCGUCAGUAAUUUGAAAUUCCACGUGUGAAAUGGGGAAAGCAGUGAGAAGCGGAGCUGGAACAGCUCUAGGUGAGACCCCAAGACACUAGUAGAUACAGGGACACAAUGGGCCUUCCACCCUCCUCCUCCAGUGUCCAUCCCCACCAUGAGCAAACCUGGAUCUCGCAGUGGAAAUAACUCCAAGAUUUGCAAAGGAGACAUUUCGCUCACGUCUCGCCCAGAUUUCUGCAUCGCACAAGCUGGGAAGUGUCCCUAUCUUCCCUUUCCCUGUUUGCCUGGUUCCAAUUCCCCUAUAGAUCUGCAGUUUUUGGGUUGGUUUGCAAUGGCAAACCCGGCGUUCUCUUGCUGCCGUACGCUUGUCCAAAGGCAGCUUCCAAAGUGGCUCAAUUAAGCUCCACGGUUGUUAUUGAUACUAAUGAAGAGAGAAAGCUGGCCCCUGAAGGCUCAGCUAAUUUCCGUGUCUGAUGCUUGCAUUGUUUGAAUAUUCAAGGAUCUGUAUUAAAUUCUUUACAAAAAAAUAAAUAGAGAUGUCACGA